rnacentral:pre_miRNA from 1 species
GCGAGCUAUCGAAGGAGAGAACCAGUGGCGUAUUGAACAGAGCAUGCCAUUGGUGGAGUAAGUACGUCAAGGCACGAAACAGAAUUAAUUUUGAUUAACGUUUUAUUAACCUUCAACUCUGCAUUGGCCUAUGGCAGUUCCUCAAGGUCACAUCGAUGGACAACUCUGCAUUGGCCUAUGGCAGUUCCUCAAGGUCACAUCGAUGGACUGGGGCGUGAUACAAGGCGUAGUCCGCUGGUUUCUGCCACCGUUAGGACUCUCCCCAACCUAUUCUCAGCUGCAACAUUUACAACUGCAACAUUCACAAGUUAUUUACAAUGUUGCAGCCGAGAAUAAAAUGGGAAGACUCCAAAGCGUCGCAACAACCAGCUUUGUAUCAGCCCCCCAACUGGUGUGAGUUUGGGGAACUGCCACAUGCCAAGCCAGACUUGCAUGCUAAUAAAACAUUAUUCGAAAUUGCUUCUAUUUUGUUUGUUGACAUACUUCCUCCGCCAAUGACACGCUCAGUUCAAUUUGCUGAUGGUUC